rnacentral:lncRNA from 1 species
GUAGUUUUAAAUAUUGAUGAUCGUAUCUAAAACUUGAUUUCUCGAUACUUGAAUAAUUUUCCCCAAUUUCCUUUAAUCACUUUAAGCUAAUUCCAUUUUCUACUCCAUUUUCUAAUAGCUAAUUCAUCAGAAUACCUUUAUUCUAAUCAUGAAAAUAAUUAUCCCAUCUUUCAAUCUAGCAAAACUAAUAACCAUAAUUCAACCAAUUAAAUUUACAUUUUGUUCCAUAUAACCAUUCUUCCAAGUGAAUAUUUUGUGAUAACUAUCAUUUUCCCAAACUAUCUUUACUCUAGAAUGUAAUUAAAAAUUCUAGGGUUUAUUAAAAAUGGUAUAACUUAGCUUUUAUAUACACAACCCCUAUAUAUAAUUUAGUCCAAUACUUUAUAUACAACCCCUGUAUAUAAUUUAGUCCAAUACAUAGGCUUCAACAUUUGUUUGACAAAAAUGGCACUAAAGUUCCACAAUAUUGAAUUAUGACACGAAAUUCUGUAUAUUGAAAACUGUGUACCAAAAUAUGGAUAGAAAUAACACGUUUCUGGGAAAAUUUCUUAAAUAGCACCUUCAUUACUUAACCCGAAAAUUUCUUUAGAAAAAAUGGAGAAUUUCAACAUCAAAUCCUUAAUUUAAGUGUUUAACAUCAUAUAGUCCCAAGAAUUUCAAAUAAUAUGUAUUUCUUUCACAAACCCAUCUCAAAUUCCACUUUCUUCGACACUAAUUGACAAUUACAUAUUUCUCUGCCAUAGUUUAGUUAUAACCUCAAAUACAUAUUCAUAAUCUUUAAUUAUUGUCAAACUUUAAACAUGAGUAAUUGUUUACAAACCUUAAAUUCAAGAAUUAUUUUCCAUAAAUACAUCUUUUACUAACCUGAAGAAAUUAAGGAAGAACUUUAAGGACCAUGUUGGUAUUGCCAUCAUUUUUUCUUCCUCUUCCUUCUUCUUCUUCUUCUUCUUCUUCCUUUUCUUUCUUCUUUUCUCCAUCUUGUUUUCCUUUUCUCUACCUCUUUCUCAAUUCUUCUCGGUUUCUCUCCCUCUCAGCCGGCUCUAGUAUGUGUUUGUGUGCGUUUUCAAUUGUAAAAUGGAUCAAAGGUUGUAAUAUAAAGGUCCACUUACUCCAUAUUACAAGGAAAGUCCCCCUCUUCUUAAGUAGAAUGUAAAUUAAAUCCUGAACUUCCUAAAAUAUAUAAAUGGAUCCCAACAUUUUUAUUUUGUUAAACUUAAACCUUCAAAAUAUUUGUCGUAAUAAAUUAAGUCCCAAUUAAAA